AUACUUGAGCCUUAUCUGUUCUUCCUCUCAAAUCCUUGGGAACCUAGGUGUGAGUGCUGCUUCAGUGCAACACACCUAUUCAAGGAUUCAAAGAGGCUGAGCCUUGUCUGCAUGUCGAAG
rnacentral:pre_miRNA from 13 species